GAUGAAGAACGUAGCGAAAUGCGAUAAGUAAUGUGAAUUGCAGAAUUCAGUGAAUCAUCGAAUCUUUGAACGCACAUUGCGCCCGCCAGCAUUCUGGCGGGCAUGCCUGUUCGAGCGUCAUUUCAACCCUCGAGCCCCCCCGGGGGCCUCGGUGUUGGGGGACGGCACACCAGCCGCCCCCGAAAUGCAGUGGCGACCCCGCCGCAGCCUCCCCUGCGUAGUAGCACACACCUCGCACCGGAGCGCGGAGGCGGUCACGCCGUAAAACGCCCAACUUUCUUAGAGUUGACCUCGGAUCAGAUAGGAAUACCCGCUGAACUUAAGCAUAUCAAUAAGCGGAGGA
rnacentral:misc_RNA from 1 species